ensembl:snoRNA
AACCUCCCAGGAUCGCAUCUGGAGAGUUUUUGUACUCUUCCAGCUUUGGACACAGGAGGGAUAUAAGUUGCAGAAAACACCCAUUCUGUUUCUGGCUCUGAAAAGUGCGAGCAAACGGAAGAUAUUCUGCAACAAGU